rnacentral:tRNA from 1 species
GAGGGUAGAGUUCAGUGGUAGAGUGUGUGCUUAGCACGCACAAGGUCCUGGGUUCAAUGCCCAGUACACCCA